CGACGUAGGUAACCUGCCUGGUAGCGGGGGAUAACUAUUGGAAACGAUAGCUAAUACCGCAUAAAAUGGACUAUUGCAUGAUAGUCAAUUGAAAGGUGCAACUGCACCACUACCAGAUGGACCUGCGUUGUAUUAGCUAGUUGGUGGGGUAACGGCUCACCAAGGCGACGAUACAUAGCCGACCUGAGAGGGUGAUCGGCCACACUGGGACUGAGACACGGCCCAG
rnacentral:rRNA from 1 species